rnacentral:rRNA from 1 species
CCAGACUCCUACGGGAGGCAGCAGUGGGGGAUAUUGCACAAUGGGGGAAACCCUGAUGCAGCGACGCCGCGUGAAGGAAGAAGUAUUUCGGUAUGUAAACUUCUAUCAGCAGGGAAGAGAAUGACGGUACCUGACUAAGAAGCCCCGGCUAACUACGUGCCAGCAGCCGCGGUAAUACGUAGGGGGCAAGCGUUAUCCGGAUUUACUGGGUGUAAAGGGAGCGUAGGCGGCGAUGCAAGUCAGGAGUGAAAGCCCGGGGCUCAACUCCGGGACUGCUUUUGGAACUGUGCUGCUAGAGUGUCGGAGAGGCAGGCGGAAUUCCUAGUGUAGCGGUGAAAUGCGUAGAUAUCAGGAGGAACACCGGCGGCGAAGGCGGCCUGCUGGACCGUGACUGACGUUGAGGCUCGAGAGCGUGGGGAGCAAACAGGAUUAGAUCCCCUCGUA